AUGGGUGAUUUUCAACAAAAACUGGAAGCACUGAAGGGUCUAGUUGGUGUGCUGAAUAGCAUGGAGGAUGAUGGUGAAACUGAACCUCAAAACGCUUCACCUUCCACCCCACACAACUACAAUCCUACCCCUCAGCCUGGAAGGAACCAUCGUCGUUCAUUUGGAAAGUAUAAUAACUCUGGGAAACAGAAUAUAAAAGGUCUAAGUAAUCAAACUGGUUUCACUGAAGGAAAUGCUAAUGGAGCUAUCAACUUUGGAGAUUUACGUAUGUAA